rnacentral:rRNA from 1 species
CGAGUGAACCGGGAAGAGCUCAAAUUUGUAAUCUGGCGUGCUCCGUACGUCCGAGUUGUAAUCUAUAGAAACGUUUUCCGUGCCGGACCGCGUCCAAGUCCCUUGGAACAGGGUAUCAAAGAGGGUGACAAUCCCGUACUUGACGUGACGACCGGUGCUCUGUGAUACGUUCUCUACGAGUCGAGUUGUUUGGGAAUGCAGCUCAAAACGGGUGGUGAAUUCCAUCUAAGGCUAAAUAUUGGCGAGAGACCGAUAGCGAACAAGUACCGUGAGGGAAAGAUGAAAAGCACUUUGGAAAGAGAGUUAAACAGUAUGUGAAAUUGUUGAAAGGGAAACGAUUGAAGUCAGUCGUGAGCCCGGGAUUCAGCCGGUUCUGCCGGUCUACUUCUCGGGUUUGGGUCAACAUCAGUUCCCGUCGGCGGACAAAGGCUGUGGGAAUGUGGCUCCCUCGGGAGUGUUAUAGCCCGCUGUUGCAUACGCUGGUGGGGACUGAGGAAUGCAGCUCGCCCUCACGGGCCGGGGCUUCGGCCUACGUUCGAGCUUAGG